UAGUAGUUUGAAGGAUCGAGAGAUGAAGGACGAGGAGCUGGAGGAAGUUCUGAAAAAAGGGUGCAAGAGGUCCAGUGGACCUCUGCACUGCGCGGACCGAAGCGGAGCGUAGAAGAGGAAUGUUGCGUAAGGAUAAUAACCCAUGAGGGGCGAGAGGUUCGUCCUAAUCCUCACAAGGCAAACAGAGGAGACAGUAUCUUGAUAAGAGGUGCGUCGUGAACACAACAGAGUGGCUGGUCGGUAACUCCCGGAAGUGAGCACACUUCUAUGUACACGGGGCGAUAUGGGUGUCGAGAAGACAGGCGUGUACCUACA
ncrna:unclassified sequences Clostridiales-3 RNA